UACGUAAGUGGCGAGCGUUAUCCGGAAUUACUGGGCGUAAAGCGUGCGUAGGCGGUUUAGUGUGUGGGAAUUGAAAGCCCGGGGCUCAACUCCGGAUCCGGUUCCCAAACUGCUAGACUCGAGAGUAUCAGAGGAGAGCGGAAUUCCCGGUGUAGCGGUAAUAUGCGUAGAUAUCGGGGAGGAACACCAGUGGCGAAGGCGGCUCUCUGGGGUAUUUCUGACGCUGGAGGCACGAAAGCCAGGGGAGCGAACGGG
rnacentral:rRNA from 1 species